rnacentral:rRNA from 1 species
UACGUAGGGGGCAAGCGUUGUCCGGAGUUACUGGGCGUAAAGGGCGCGCAGGCGGCCUGGUAAGUUACUCGUGAAAGCCCCCGGCUAAACCGGGGAGGGUCGAGUGAUACUGUCAGGCUAGAGAGCAGCAGAGGAUAGUAGAAGUCCCGGUGUAGUGGUGAAAUGCGUAGAGAUCGGGAGGAAUACCAGUGGCGAAGGCGGCUAUCUGGGCUGUAUCUGACGCUGAGGCGCGAAGGCUAGGGUAGCAAACAGG